rnacentral:lncRNA from 1 species
UUUAUAGUAACCAUCCGAUCGUGCGAUCGUGAUCAAUCCGAUUGUCCGAUCGAGACCAAACUCACGGGACGCGUGUCCUAGGCUUAUUAGAACCUUUAGUGACCUCCAGUUUUGCGAGGAAGGAAUUGCGGCCCGGAUAGAAGCGGUAUCUCCGAGGCCUGCGAGGAUAGAUAGUUAGUUAUAGGUUGCGGCCCGGAUUAGGGGUAGGCAUCGG